GUGCAAGGUGUGACCUCAGGCAAUGUGACUGGUACUGAGUGCACUGUACAGGAGUCGUACCUGAUGUACAAAACUGUUCUGACUCAGCACGCGCACGAAGUCAGCACUAACACGUGGUGUUGGCAUUUUCCUCCGCGAUGUAGGAGAUGCAGAACAGAGCUGAGGUCAACGUACAAAGUGGUCACGGAGCUCGCCUAUCGCAGGAAGAAU
rnacentral:lncRNA from 1 species